CAAAUUUGCAACAGGCGAUCGAUCAAAACGGAUAUACGAUCUGCAAACGUUCUCGGUGACGUAAAACCCUAGUCUCGCUGCUCUUCAGCAUACUUUUUGAUGGUUUGGAGGCCUCCAGUUCUGGAUAGAGCGAGGGAUGACGAUCAUAAUUGGAGGGUUCGUCUCCCACCUGGAUCACGCCUCACCAUCGUUACCAGAAUAGCGGAAACGAUAGAUAGGUGCAUUUCGUUCUCUGUGCCAGUUAAUGAAUUGAGGAGAAUUGCAGCUAGAUUCGAGGAAAGGGUUUACAGGAACGCUGUUGAUCAGAGGCAUUGGAAUCCGCAUGUACCCCCUCCUCCUCCCUCCUUCCAUAGAUUGUGAAAGAAGAGAUUGUUGGUGAUAAUCGAGCUUUAUCUUGCAAAUCUUGCAAAAUGCAGGUUUUGGAUUUUGGGAUUGACCCAAUUCUAACUUUCCCGUGGUUGACGUUCAACCACGACGACUUCUGAUCAAACUUCAUCCCUUGAUCCAAUGUGUUUCAGAUUGAUUACCUUCGGAUAAUAGCCACAAGGAUGGUGAUUAUGGAGACAAAGUACCUGAGUUCUGCAGACAGCUGUGCACCCUCCAAAUCUUGAUGUAAAAUUGGAAUGGUUACUUGUAUAAGGGGUUAAUCUCCUAAACCCUUAAAGCUCUUUUUUUUAUCUUGAAAUGUUGGUGGCAUAUUUGAAGUGUUUUGAGUAUUGUUUGUUACAUGAUCCUAAAGGAGGAGGGUCAAGCUAAUAAUGGUGAGAGAGACAUGUUGGGAAAUAACCACAAGUCAAUGCUUAAAAAAGAAAAUAAAUAAAUGAGGAAUUUGGGUUUGCA